rnacentral:rRNA from 1 species
AUUGAACGCUGGCGGCAUGCUUUACACAUGCAAGUCGAACGGCAGCGGGGGCUUCGGUCCGCCGGCGAGUGGCGAACGGGUGAGUAAUGCAUCGGAACGUGCCCAGUCGUGGGGGAUAACACAUCGAAAGAUGUGCUAAUACCGCAUACGUCCUGAGGGAGAAAGCGGGGGAUCUUCGGACCUCGCGCGAUUGGAGCGGCCGAUGUCGGAUUAGCUAGUUGGUGAGGUAACGGCCCACCAAGGCGACGAUGCGUAGCUGAGCUGAGAGGCUAAACAGCCACACUGGGACUGAGACACGGCCCAGACUCCUACGGGAGGCAGCAGUAGGGAAUUUUCGGCAAUGGGGGAAACCCUGACCGAGCAAUGCCGCGUGAACGAUGAAGGUCUUCGGAUUGUAAACUGCUUUUGUACGGAACGAAAAGGCGCCUUCUAAUACAGGGCGCUCAUGACGGUACCGUAAGAAUAAGCACCGGCUAACUACGUGCCAGCAGCCGCGGUAA